rnacentral:rRNA from 1 species
UACAGAGGCCACGAGCGUUAGGCGGAAUCACUGGGCUUAAAGCGUGUGUAGGUGGAUGACUAAGUACCUUGUGAAAUCCCACGGCUCAACCGUGGAACUGCUUGGUAUACUGGUUGUCUUGAGGCACUCAGGGGCGAGCGGAACAGAUGGUGGAGCGGUGAAAUGCGUAGAUAUCAUCUGGAACGCCAAUGGUGAAGACAGCUCGCUGGGGGUGUACUGACACUGAGACACGAAAGCCAGGGGAGCAAACAGG